GAUGAACGCUGGCGGCGUGCCUAAUACAUGCAAGUCGAGCGAACGGACGAGAAGCUUGCUUCUCUGAUGUUAGCGGCGGACGGGUGAGUAACACGUGGAUAACCUACCUAUAAGACUGGGAUAACUUCGGGAAACCGGAGCUAAUACCGGAUGAUAUUUUGAACCGCAUGGUUCAAAAGUGAAAGACGGUCUUGCUGUCACUUAUAGAUGGAUCCGCGCUGCAUUAGCUAGUUGGUAAGGUAACGGCUUACCAAGGCAACGAUGCGUAGCCGACCUGAGAGGGUGAUCGGCCACACUGGAACUGAGACACGGUCCAGACUCCUACGGGAGGCAGCAGUAGGGAAUCUUCCGCAAUGGGCGAAAGCCUGACGGAGCAACGCCGCGUGAGUGAUGAAGGUCUUCGGAUCGUAAAACUCUGUUAUUAGGGAAGAACAUAUGUGUAAGUAACUGUGCACGUCUUGACGGUACCUAAUCAGAAAGCCACGGCUAACUACGUG
rnacentral:rRNA from 1 species